rnacentral:rRNA from 1 species
AGGACAAACGCUGGCGGCGUACUUAAGACAUGCAAGUCGAACGGGCGCUUCACCUUCGGGUGGGUGUGCUAGUGGCGGACGGGUGAGUAACGCGUAGGAACCUGUCAUCAAGAGGGGGAUAACGCUGGGAAACCGGCGCUAAUACCGCAUGUGGUCAUGAAAAUGAAGAAAGCAGCAAUGCGCUUGAUGAGGGGCCUGCGUCCGAUUAGCUUGUUGGUGGGGUAAAGGCCUACCAAGGCAUCGAUCGGUAGCUGGUCUGAGAGGAUGGGUCAGCCACACUGGGGACUGAGACACGGCCCAGACUCCUACGGGAGGCAGCAGUUAGGAAAUUUUCCCCAAUGGGCGCAAGCCUGAGGGAGUAACGCCGCGUGGAGGAUGACGGCUUUCGGGUUGUAAACUCCUUUUCUGUGGGAAGAGUAGAAGCGGUACCGCAGGAAUAAGCCUCGGCUAACUACGCGCCAGCAGCCGC